UACGUAGGAGGCGAGCGUUGUCCGGAGUUACUGGGCGUAAAGGGUGCGCAGGCGGUCACCUCAGUUUGCGGUGAAAGCUCCCGGCUUACCUGGGAGAGGGCCGUGAAGACUGGGUGACUUGAGGCGUGGAGAGGGACGUGGAAUUCCGGGUGGAGCGGUGAAAUGCAUAGAGAUCCGGAAGAACACCAACGGCGAAGGCAGCGUCCUGGCCACCGCCUGACGCUCAGGCACGAAAGCGCGGGGAGCGAACAGG
rnacentral:rRNA from 1 species